AUUUUUUAAAAAUGAAAUCAAAUGCUAUUAUGAUGGAAUUUUGUUUUGUGGAAAGAUUUUAACUGUACAUGGAUAAAUAUUAGAUGUAAAAUAUCCAUUUUAAAAGUACUGAUUAAUUGAUUUUUGUUAUCAUUUUCAUGGCCAUGGUUGAUAAAGAUUUGACAUAUUUUCAAACAAGUAUGAAGGAUAACAAAUAACAUGUCUAAUUUUUAUAAAACAAAAUAAAAUUAUACACAAGAUUAAAGCUAUCACGGCAUACAAUUCUGUUACUUGUAAAUUUAUAUCAAAUGCACGAAAAAUGGCUUAAAUUAAAAUAAAAUAAUAGUUCUUAAUGUAUUUACCUUAAUUUGUGUUUGGCUUGAAUGAUACUUUCAAUUAUUGAAUGGCAUUCAAAUCAAAGACUUGAAUUAGUCUAUCAAGAUGUAAUAUUCCACACAAUACAAAAUUUCACAACAAAUUAUUAUCAAAGUUAGUGAACCAAGUCAUGUGCAUUGAGAUUCAUUCUUGUAUUUAAAAUUUUUAUACAUCAAUAGCUUGUUUUAAACAUAUUACUCCCAAAAAUGUAUUACUUGUAGAACAAAUCAUGAAACCCCAACGCUUAUAUAGGCAUGGUUGAAUUAUCAUUAGUAAAUCAUGAAACCCAUAAACACAAAAAGACGACUUUUUGACUAAAAUUCAUAGUUAGGAAAUUGUACCACGAAAUUCUCAUUCUUUUCCCAAUUUUGCAACAUUUUAGUCAUUUCCAAGAAAUGAGUUUGAGUUGACCGCAUUCUCCACGUCAAGUUAAACAAGAGCUGUCCACUAAUCGCAUAGGUUCUCAAUCAAAUGGGAAGCCACGGUGGCAGCCACGUCAGCCAAAUAGGCAAGCAACGAUGGACCCAGGCACGGCGUCGUGGGAGUAUGUGGCAGCCAGCUCAGCAUCGCCAGAUUCCCGCCCUUUCAAGUUGCCGCGCGGAUCGAAGCUCGGCCG
rnacentral:lncRNA from 1 species